rnacentral:rRNA from 1 species
CCUACGGGAGACAGCAGUGAGGAAUAUUGGUCAAUGGGCGAGAGCCUGAACCAGCCAAGUCGCGUGAAGGAUGACGGCUCUAUGGUUUGUAAACUUCUUUUAUAUGGGAAUAAAGUGAGGAACGUGUUCCUUUUUGUAUGUACCUUAUGAAUAAGCAUCGGCUAACUCCGUGCCAGCAGCCGCGGUAAUACGGAGGAUGCGAGCGUUAUCCGGAUUUAUUGGGUUUAAAGGGUGCGUAGGUGGGUAGUUAAGUCAGCGGGGAAAGUUUGUGGCUCAACCAGAAAAUUGCCGUUUAAACUGGUUGACUUGAGUACAGUUGAGGUAGGCGGAAUGCGUGGUGUAGCGGUGAAAUGCAUAGAUAUCACGCAGAACUCCGAUUGCGAAGGCAGCUUACUAAACUGUAACUGACACUGAAGCACGAAAGCGUGGGGAUCAAACAGGAUUAGAUACCCUGGUAGUC